UCUUCGUUUAAUUAACCAUCAAUAUAAUAUAAAAGAAGAUUUCGCUUCUCCUACUUACAUCAGUUGUACGAUACAUUACAAAUCUAAAGGAACUACAGUUUUUCAGAAACGAAACUUCAAUCUAAUCAACAUGCAGUCCAGUACCGUCAUUUGUCUAGCUCUUGUGUGCUUCGCGGCAGCAUUCAUGUCUGCUGCAGCUCAGGCUGAAGAGUCAUCUUUCGAAAACUUGGAUCAAUACGAAGUGCAAGGUGGUCCACUCGGUCUGGUGAAAUCGGAUAUUCCUCAAUUGCGCAACCGUUGUAAGAACUUUGGCAAUUGCGUUCAUGAUAAAGUAUGUGACAA